AGAGUUUGAUCCUGGCUCAGGAUGAACGCUGGCGGCGUGCCUAACACAUGCAAGUCGAGCGAUCUUCUUCGGAAGAGAGCGGCGGACGGGUGAGUAACGCGUGGGUAACCUGCCUCAUACACAUGGAUAACAUACCGAAAGGUAUGCUAAUACAAGAUGAUAUAAGAGAUUCGCAUGGAUUUCUUAUCAAAGCUCCGGCGGUAUGAGAUGGACCCGCGUCUGAUUAGCUAGUUGGUAAGGUAACGGCUUACCAAGGCGACGAUCAGUAGCCGACCUGAGAGGGUGAUCGGCCACAUUGGAACUGAGACACGGUCCAAACUCCUACGGGAGGCAGCAGUGGGGAAUAUUGCACAAUGGGCGAAAGCCUGAUGCAGCAACGCCGCGUGAGCGAUGAAGGCCUUCGGGUCGUAAAGCUCUGUCCUCAAGGAAGAUAAUGACGGUACUUGAGGAGGAAGCCCCGGCUAACUACGUGCCAGCAGCCCGGUAAUACGUAGGGGGCUAGCGUUAUCCGGAUUUACUGGGCGUAAAGGGUGCGUAGGUGGUUUCUUAAGUCAGGAGUGAAAGGCUACGGCUCAACCGUAGUAAGCUCUUGAAACUGGGAAACUUGAGUGCAGGAGAGGAAAGUGGAAUUCCUAGUGUAGCGGUGAAAUGCGUAGAUAUUAGGAGGAACACCAGUAGCGAAGGCGGCUUUCUGGACUGUAACUGACACUGAGGCACGAAAGCGUGGGGAGCAAACAGGAUUAGAUACCCUGGUAGUCCACGCCGUAAACGAUGAGUACUAGGUGUCGGGGGUUACCCCCCUCGGUGCCGCAGCUAACGCAUUAAGUACUCCGCCUGGGGAGUACGCUCGCAAGAGUGAAACUCAAAGGAAUUGACGG
rnacentral:rRNA from 1 species